GUUAAUCUAGUUUAUAAAAAUAUUAGCUUGUCAAGUUAAAGAUGCAAGUUAUUGCGAUUAAUU
rnacentral:tRNA from 1 species